rnacentral:rRNA from 1 species
AUUGAACGCUGGCGGCAUGCUUUACACAUGCCAGUCGAACGGCAGCGCGGGCUUCGGCCUGGCGGCGAGUGGCGUACGGGUGAGUAAUGCAUCGGAACGUGCCCAGUAGUGGGGGAUAGCCCGGCGAAAGCCGGAUUAAUACCGCAUACGACCUGAGGGUGAAAGCGGGGGACCGAAAGGCCUCGCGCUAUUGGAGCGGCCGAUGUCGGAUUAGCUAGUUGGUGGGGUAAAGGCUUACCAAGGCGACGAUCCGUAGCUGGUCUGAGAGGACGACCAGCCACACUGGGACUGAGACACGGCCCAGACUCCUACGGGAGGCAGCAGUGGGGAAUUUUGGACAAUGGGGGCAACCCUGAUCCAGCCAUGCCGCGUGCGGGAAGAAGGCCUUCGGGUUGUAAACCGCUUUUGUUCGGGAAGAAAUCCUCUGGGCUAAUACCCCGGGGGGAUGACGGUACCGGAAGAAUAAGCACCGGCUAACUACGU